GACGAACGCUGGCGGCGUGCUUAACACAUGCAAGUCGAACGGAAAGGCGCGGCUCUUGUGGGGUGCUCGAGUGGCGAACGGGUGAGUAACACGUGAGUAACCUGCCCUUGACUUUGGGAUAACUUCAGGAAACUGGGGCUAAUACCGGAUAGGAGCUCCUGCUGCAUGGUGGGGGUUGGAAAGUUUCGGCGGUUGGGGCUGGACUCGCGGCUUAUCAGCUUGUUGGUGAGGUAGUGGCGUACCAAGUCUGUGACGGAUAGCCCGCCUGAGCGGGUGGCCGGCCACCUUGGGACUGAGGUACGGCCCAGACUCCUACGGGAGGCAGCAGUGGGGAAUAUUGCACAAUGGGCCGAAGCCUGAGGCAGCGGCGCCGCGUGCGGGAUGGCGGCCUUCGGGUUGUAAACCGCUUUCGCCUGUGACGAAGCGUGAGUGGCGGUACUGGGUAAAGAAGCACCGGCUAACUACGUG
rnacentral:rRNA from 1 species